CAUUGUUGAAUAUGAGAUUUACUAACGCUGCUUCCCUGUUUCAGGUAAUUUACAGGUUUUACCUCUGCAAUUCCUGUUUGACCACUAAAUUCUUUCAACAUCCUGUUAAUUUUUUGUAUUCCAGCUUCUAGCAUCCGCAAUCCCUUUUGUCUUCAAGCUACCUCAUCUCAGGUAGUAGAAAAUUUAAUGGCCAGGAAUCUGUCCCAGAUUUUCAGACUUUCAGCAUAGUUGAACAGGAUAAGAAAACCAUUCGGAUUUUUGCUUCCGUGAUUCAGUAGCACUGGGGAUCCACUGUCUCCUGACUGAGAUGAAGCACCGAGGUCGGCUCUACCACUGGUGUGAGAUCAGUGGAACUGCACACAGCUAAAAGCAGAACUUUUAAAUUUAUUAAUUCCUUAAGAAGAUUUGAAGAACUCAGGUCUUGGAGACUUGACAAAUGCCAGUGGCCUUGAGAAAACAAGGAAAUGGAGCAAGAGGCUUUGAACAGUAAAGCUAAUAUAGGAGUGUAAGAGACUCUGGAGGAUAGUUAAGAAAGUGCAAAUGAAAUCAUAGGUCUGUCCAAAUGCCAAUGAAAAACCCUCACACACAAAAUAGAGGAGAAACUGAGCAGGUCAAGUAGCAACUAAGGAGACGAAUAAACAAUUGAUGUUUCAGGUCCUGAAAAAAAGAAUAAUCAGGGGGAAUUCUGCAACAGAUACCAAUCCCACAUGUUCUAGGAGCCUGGUAUACCUGUGUGUAGAUCCUGCCUGCUUUGAAGGUGAAAGAGCUUGAUGGACCACGUGAAGAUUGCAAUUACCACAGGAAUGAAUCCUUUACAUUGGCUGAUUCUGCAGAUGUUGGAAAUCCGGAGCCACACACAAGAAUAAACACCCGAGUAGCCUCCAACAUUAUGGCAUGAAUAUCAAUUUAUCUAAUGUCUGGUAAUUUCUCUGUCCCCUUUCUCUUCUUUUUUAUUCCUCGUCUGGUUACCCUCUCAGCCCUUCUCUUCUCCUUGCCUGCCCAUCACCUUCCUGUGGUGCACCCACCUCCCUCCCUUUCUUCCAUGGUUUGCUGUCCUCAUCAAUUAGAUUUCUUCUUCUUCAGCCCCAUAUAUUCUCCAUCUAUUCUCUACCAGCUUCUGGCUUCAUCCCCUAUCCCUCAUGCACCUACCUUGCCCCUUCACCUAUUAUAUGCUAACUUGUACUCCUUCCUCUCCCCCCACCUUGUUAUUCUGGCUUCUGCCUCCUUUCUUUUCAGUCCCAAUGAAAGGUCUCAAACCAUAAUCUCCACUUUUUACUCCUGUCCAUAGAUGCUGCCUGACCUGCUGAGUUCCUCCAGCAUUGUGCGUGUGUUGUUUGUUGAAAGUGGGUUGUGUUUUUUCUCGUGGACAGUUUCUCCUAACAGGGAACUACUUAAGGUAAGCAAUGUUAUCCUGAAGAAAUUACAUGUCAGUGAUAUUUGGAAUUGAAA